GAUGAACGCUGGCGGCGUGCCUAAUACAUGCAAGUCGAGCGAAAAGAUAAGGAGCUUGCUCCUUUGACGUUAGCGGCGGAGGGAAGCGUAACACGGGGAUAACCUAACUCUAAGAAUGGGAUGACUUCGGGAAACCAGAGCUAAUAACGAAUAACAUAUUGAACCGCAUGGUUCAAUAGUGAAAGGAGCCUUUGCUGACACUAAUAGCUGACUCCGCGCCGUAUUAGCUAGUUGGUAAGGUAACGGCUUACCAAGGCAACGAUACGUAGCCGACCUGAGAGCGUGAUCGCCCACACUGUAACUGAGACUCGUUCCAGACUCCUACGCGGAGCCGCAGCCGGGAAUCUUCCGCAAUGGGCGAAAGCCUGACGGUGCAACGCCGCGUGAGUGAUGAAGGUCUUCUGAUCGUAAAACUCUGUUAUCAGUGAAGUACAAAUGCGUAAUUACCUGUGCUCAUCUUGACGGUACCUGGUCAGAAAGCCACGGCUAACUACGUG
rnacentral:rRNA from 1 species